CACAGGACAAAGCACAGAAGCCCUGACAGAUGUGGACUCCUCAAAGUUGGGUUUCCAGCCUCCAGAACUCACUGGAUUUAGGCUUCCUAACUCAUCCUGAUGCUGUCCUAUCCACCUCAUUCUGAACAGGGCUUCCUUCUCUCCUGGCUGAUUAUCCUCACUACACCAAUUUAUAGUCACUCAAUUAACUUCAAAUUCCUGAAGCUUCCUGGAAUAUAGUUAUGAAAGCUCCAGCUCUCUGGCAGUUGUCUUGAAACAUGAGGUAACCUUUAGCACAAGCACCAAUGCUGACGAUAGUAUAGCAGAAAGAUAGAUGAACUUGGAUCCCAGAUGAAAGCUCUUAUUUCAGGUUUUUCUUUUAAUAUGGAGAAAAAUAAAUGCAUGUAUCUGUAAGCCACCAUUAUUUAGUACUUUCUAUGCUACGGAGUAUAAUCACUUCUGAAUAUGCUAAGCUCCCUGUCAAGUUUUUCUUUAGCUGAAGAAAGUCAUGCCUACCUACCUGUUGGUUGUUUUAAAAUCAGUUAUGCUUAAUCCAGGGACCCCUACAGAAAAAAUUGUGUUGAAUAAUUCCAAGGGACAUAUCUUUGG